GAUGAAGAACGCAGCGAAAUGCGAUAAGUAGUGUGAAUUGCAGAAUUCCGUGAAUCAUCGAAUCUUUGAACGCACAUUGCGCCUUCUGGUAUUCCGGAAGGCAUGCCUGUUCGAGAGUCAUUAACAACCGUUUCGAUCCCUUUCUUUCAGAAAUUACAAAGAGGAAAAGGGUUUGGUUAUGGUGGAGGAGGGAAAGGGAGCGUUUAGCCUGUAAAAAAAGAGGCUGUGUUCCGCCUCCCCCCCAAAAUUGUACAGGCGGUCGUGUGCGCCCACGCAUCGAGGUGUUGUAAAAGCUGCCACGGCACUUUUCACCUGUGCAGUGCGAGAUUGGCCAGCCGGUUUAAAAACCCCUCCAAACAAUCAAAGGUUGUCCUCGGAUCAGGUAGGGAUACCCGCUGAACUUAAGCAUAUCAAUAAGCGGAGGA
rnacentral:misc_RNA from 1 species